rnacentral:rRNA from 1 species
GAUGAACGCUAGCGGCAGGCUUAAUACAUGCAAGUCGAGGGGCAACAGGGGUAGCAAUACCUGCUGGCGACCGGCAAACGGGUGCGGAACACGUACAGAACCUUCCUUUAAGCGGGGGAUAGCCCAUAGAAAUGUGGAUUAAUACCCCAUAGUAAUAUUUGGUGGCAUCAUUAGAUAUUUAAAGAUUUAUCACUUAAAGAUGGCUGUGCGUCUGAUUAGGUAGUUGGUGCGGGUAACGGCCCACCAAGCCAUCGAUCAGUAACUGGUGUGAGAGCACGACCAGUCACACGGGCACUGAGACACGGGCCCGACUCCUACGGGAGGCAGCAGUAAGGAAUAUUGGUCAAUGGACGCAAGUCUGAACCAGCCAUGCCGCGUGAAGGAUGAAGGCCCUCUGGGUUGUAAACUUCUUUUAUCU